rnacentral:rRNA from 1 species
UACGAAGGGGGCUAGCGUCGCUCGGAAUCACUGGGCGUAAAGGGUGCGUAGGCGGGUCUUUAAGUCAGGGGUGAAAUCCUGGAGCUCAACUCCAGAACUGCCUUUGAUACUGAGGAUCUUGAGUUCGGGAGAGGUGAGUGGAACUGCGAGUGUAGAGGUGAAAUUCGUAGAUAUUCGCAAGAACACCAGUGGCGAAGGCGGCUCACUGGCCCGAUACUGACGCUGAGGCACGAAAGCGUGAGGAGCAAACAGG